rnacentral:rRNA from 1 species
AACGAACGCUGGCGGCAUGCCUAACACAUGCAAGUCGAACGAGACCUUCGGGUCUAGUGGCGCACGGGUGCGUAACGCGUGGGAACCUGCCCUUAGGUUCGGAAUAACUCCCCGAAAGGGGUGCUAAUACCGGAUAAUGUCUUCGGACCAAAGAUUUAUCGCCUUUGGAUGGGCCCGCGUUGGAUUAGCUAGUUGGUAGGGUAAAAGCCUACCAAGGCGACGAUCCAUAGCUGGUCGGAGAGGAUGAUCAGCCACACUGGGAAUGAGACACGGCCCAGACUCGUACGGGAGGCAGCAGUGGGGAAUAUUGGACAAUGGGCGAAAGCCUGAUCCAGCAAUGCCGCGUGAGUGAUGAAGGCCUUAGGGUUGUAAAGCUCUUUUACCCGGGAUGAUAAUGACAGUACCGGGAGAAUAAGCUCCGGCUAACUCCGUG